UGGCCUAAUGGUAAAUCUCUCAGC
rnacentral:siRNA from 1 species